GGACGUUUGAAACACACAUGCGGGACGAUUGAAACAGCAUAUUUUAAAAAGAAUCUAUUGCCCUUACUCUUGUUUUUAUGCAACAUACUAGACAACAUACUAGUUUACUCGUCAUUGCUAAAAUCUCACAUAAUUCCGCAUCAUAUAAAUAGGUCAAAAUAUAUUUUUGGCCCGUGCGUAAUUAUCAAGAUGCACAUUUCGAUUAAAACUCACCUUUCUUCUUUUGGACGACUACAUUUGCAUUAAAUUUACUUAUUUCCCUGUCCUAAGUCAUGUUUAAGGAUACCCAGUUGAACAUCCUUUUAUUUAUUUUAAACAAAAACGACCAGGUCAACAGGAUAUCACGAGACCUGUUACAGCGGAAAUUUAUCCAAGCGCCGCACAGGGUUAAUUUCUUUUCGACACGCACAGCCUGGCGCACAGAAGCAUCCGGAGUCUCUGUGGACAGGUGACACAGGUAGUGUGCACUCCCGUCGGUGCAAGCCUCAUGCGACCACU